rnacentral:rRNA from 1 species
UACGUAGGGGGCAAGCGUUGUCCGGAAUCAUUGGGCGUAAAGCGCGCGUAGGCGGCCCGGUAGGUCCGGUGUGAAAACUCGAGGCUCAACCUCGAGAGGUCAUCGGAAACCAUCUGGCUAGAGUCCGGAAGAGGAGAGUGGAAUUCCCGGUGUAGCGGUGAAAUGCGCAGAUAUCGGGAAGAACACCUAUGGCGAAGGCAGCUCUCUGGGACGGUACUGACGCUGAGACGCGAAAGCGUGGGGAGCGAACAGG